GAUGAAGAACGUAGCGAAAUGCGAUAAGUAAUGUGAAUUGCAGAAUUCAGUGAAUCAUCGAAUCUUUGAACGCACAUUGCGCCCUCUGGUAUUCCGGGGGGCAUGCCUGUUCGAGCGUCAUUACAACCCUCAAGCUUUGCUUGGUAUUGGACAUUGCCAGUUUCUGGCAGGUCUUAAAAUCAGUGGCGGUGCCAUUUGGCUUCAAGCGUAGUAAUUCUUCUCGCUUUGGAGAUCCAGGUGGUUACUUGCCAAUAACCCCCAAUUUUUUCAGGUUGACCUCGGAUCAGGUAGGGAUACCCGCUGAACUUAAGCAUAUCAAUAAGCGGGA
rnacentral:misc_RNA from 1 species